rnacentral:rRNA from 1 species
GUCUACAGCCAUGCUAUCCUGAACAAGCCCCGUUUGCUCUCAGAAGCUAAGCAGGGUCGGGCCUGGUUAGUACUUAGAUGGUAGACCACCUAGGAAGACCAGGUGCUGUAGGCG